rnacentral:misc_RNA from 1 species
UGAUGUUGCUAAAAUUCCAAGACAAUUCAUAAAAUAUUUUGAUAUGAUUACAGAGAGGGUGCAAAUACAAUGAAAAUCUACAUUUCUACACGCUUUGCUAUCUACAAUCAUUUUAUGAAUUGUUAUUGUUGUAUCAGUUCGGGGAUAAGUUUGAGCAGAAAAGACAAUUCCCUCUGUGAAAAUUGAGGUCUAUUUUGAACCUUUUCCUCCCCUUCCAGCAAUAUCUCAUCUGGCUUCUUCACCAGCUUACACACAGCAUCUGUUACUUGUUCAACAAAAUCCACUAUCACUCCAUCAAUUCCCAUCAGGUGUUGCAUAUACACAGCUUCAGGCACAUUAUUCAAUUUGCCGUAUGUCAGCAGAGACAGCUUGGACUCUUUGAUCUUGUUAACUACUCCUGGAUUCCUGAAGAUGCCUUUCACCUCCGAAACAAUACCUUCCAAACCACCCUCUAAGCACAGUUUAGUGGCCUCUUCCAACGAGUUUCUUCGAACAUCAUAGUAAAUCUCUGUACCUCCAUUUGUGAGAAAAAACACAGGGUAACAUGUCUGGAGCUUCUUGACAAGCAGAGCAGCAUCAGGCUGGAAACUUGAGAAUAUGAUUGGUCUGCCUUUAGCAUACUCUAAUACGACAUGUAACACUGCUUUAAGAGCAUGGAUGAGGUAGUCCUGUUGAUAAACAAUGUGAUCAUCAAAUUUGAGCUCGAUGUUGAAACCAAUAGAUGGAUUCACUUUCUCAAAAGCUUCUUUUAAGGUACAUGCGGAAUCAUCGGUUUCAACUGUCCAGCUAACAAUCUUUCCAUCUUUCGUUUUCCUCAUUAAAGGUUUUCCAGUGAGACCCUCUUCUUUUUGGGGUCCAUAGCUAAGAAAUUCAGCAAGUGACAAUUCAGUAAUUCUCCUUUCAUAAACUGUACCAUUAUUAUGUUGAGUGAGGAUGAAAUCGUCGUGAAAAAUAACAGGGCAAUCAUCCUUUGUCACCUGAACGUCAAAUUCAAUAAAAUCGAUUGGGUAAUUGGCAGCUGCAUUGAAAGAAAGAAUGGAAUUUUCUUUGAGGGCAUUCAUUCUCCGGUCAGCCGAUUGCAACAAAUUCAUCCCGUUCCCUCUGUGUCCAACAACUAAAAAUUCGGAUGCUCUUCCAAUUUCAAUGCCUUGAGAGAAUCGGGUGGCAUAUAGAGGAGCUUUGUCAGGGACUUGAUCUAGAUUGGGAACAUCGGAAACAUGAACAGCUGUAAGAGCCAUUGUUGUUGUAUUGUUAUAUAUAUAUAUACUACUAGUAUAUAUAUUAUAUAUAUGAGAAGAAGAGAAGAGAAGAGAAAACGGGAUGAUUGGAUUGGAUUGGAUGCAACAACAAG